ACACAAACAAAAUUGAAAUGUUUACAUUGACAGGUGUUCCUAGAGAUUGGUUGUUUGGUACCUCACCAAACGGCUACAUGGACGGCGAACUGUUCUACAAAUGGUUUGAAUCAGUGUUCUUACCAAAUGUUCAUAAACGACCUGCCUUACUGGUCCUUGACAACCACGAGAGUCAUCUCACUCUCAAACUACUACAGCGGGCAAAGUCAGAAAAUGUGGAGCUGUACGGGUUACCUCCACACACAACACAUGUAACCCAGCCUUUGGAUGUGGCCCUUUUCAAACCCCUUAAAUCCAAAUUUUCUGACAUUGCUGUCAAUUUGGGGUAUGCCAGGAAAGAUCUGAUGAUUGGCAAGGCAAAAUUUGCACCAGUGUUGUCAUCCGCCAUUGAUCAGUGCUUCAGUCCACACCAUAUCAAGGAGGCCUUCAGAAAGACUGGCAUUUUCCCUUUUAAUCCCAAGGUGAUUGACCAGAACCAACUCACCCUGCUGAACCCAAACAGCAUCUUCUAAAAGAAGUAACUCCUGACAAUCCACCUGAAAAACAGGACAUUCUUUGCCAUGCCUGUGGUCAUUUUAUUGGGCAAAAUCCUUUGGUUAAGCAGGGUCUGAUUCCUGAAAACCUCUCAGAGAUAUUUCUCCCCAUCUUUCUGCCAACUUCUGAUAAAAAAAGGCGAAUCAUAACAACAUCUAGAGUUUUAACGGGACAUGAGAUAAUAACUCAGCUAGAACAAAAAGAAGCAGAUGAGGAGGACAAGAAGAAGAAAAAGGAGGAAAGGAGGGAAAUGGCUGAGAGGAAGAGGAAAGAGGCUGAGAGGAAGAGGAAAGAGGCCGAGAGGAAGAGGGAAGAGGCUGAAAGGAAGAGAAAAGAUGCUGAA